rnacentral:rRNA from 1 species
AUGGGGCGAACCACAGUUAAUCCUAUUUGGAGUAAGAUAUGGAAAUUAGCAUGUCUGGCAAAAGUUCAAAUAUUGUUAUGGCGUAUGCUACAUGGUACUAUCCUGUGCAGGGUUACGCUAGCUAAUAGACAUAUGAAGGUUUCAACCAUCUGCCCAAUUUGCUCCGAGGGCUUAGAAGAUACAAAACAUAUGUUGUUCCGGUGAAGUAAAGCAAAUGAGGUUUGGAAAAGACUGGGACUGGAUGAUAUCAUUGAAAAAGCUUGCGAGAUUGAUCGUGCAGGAGAGGCGGUGCUGGAGUACCUACUAUUCUGACCAGAUCAAGGUUCAUGGAUAUUGGGUUGCCACAAUGUGCGUGAGAUGAUUGCUAUCUCAAUAUGGUACCUAUGGUGGGAAAGACGGAAGUUGGUUCACAAUGAGAAAAUACAAAAUGUAACGCAGAUUUCAAUGGGAAUCCUUGGCCUUACCGCAAAUUUUGUUAAUGCAUUAUCCCCCAAGGCGUCUGUGAAGAAGGAGAAUUGGUCUUGCCCUCCAAGAGGUUUUGUUAAACUCAAUGUUGAUGCUUCCUUUGAUCAUGACCUUCUUAGGGGUACAAUGGGAGCAGUUCUUAGAGAUGAUAGAGGCAGGUUUAUUGCUGGAGGGAGUGAGAGAAUAGAUUUUUGUGCGGAUGUGCUGAUGGUGGAGGCUAGAGCUCCCAAAUUUGGUUUGACAUUGGCGCAAAGGGCGGGUUGCAAUCACAUUAUCAUAAAUUCGGAUAAUAUGGAGGUGAUUGACUCUACGAGUGAUGGAGGGCACUCAGCGGGUGCGGCGGCAGCAAUCUUCGAAGACUGUUUUCAUUAUGCCUGUGAUUUCGUUACUGCUAGAUUUGAGCACUGUAAUAGGGAAGCAAAUAAAGUAGCUCAUGAGCUUGCUAGAUUAGCUAGAUUUUCUUUGACUUCUGAUUGGUUUGAGGAGCCUUUAAAUGAAAUUGUAAUGUUCCUCACAAACGAUGUACUACUUAUUACAAAUGAAUAA